AUGAGGAGCCAUGCUGAUCUCAUGAAGGAGGAGCCAUUUCCCCCAGGUCAGCUCCCUGAGGGCUCAGACCUGAAACCAGGUGCACAGGAAGCUGAGUCACUAGGGGCCAACACAGUUGCUCUCAGCCCUGGGGAACGCAGGGGAGCUCAUUACAGCUGGCAGAAGUCCUCACCAUAAAAGCAGAGAUAUGUGCAAUGCUGCAAUCAGUUGCCAUGGAGACCACACUCUGGCCCUGUACCCUCAACAGCAUGGUUAAAUAAGUGGAUGAAACCCAAAGCUGUCCUCACUUUUCCUGCCAGACAGAUUUCCUUAAGUGAGCCAUGUGUUGGUAAUGAAAUCCUGAACCCAUGCGGGGUUAGACAGAAGCAGCAGUGCUUGAUGAUCUAUCAGAUGUGGGUGAAGACAGAACAGAGCAAGAGACAGAACCAAAGUGGGGGUAACUGAGAUCGUGUGCCUACUUUUGUGGAUGAACAUCCCUGACAAGGUGGUGCUAUCUGUGAAAGAUGCUGAUCCAGAAAGUCUGAGUGGAGUCCAUGAACUUGCAUUUCCAAUUAGCCCCCAGUGUCUACUGGUGCUGCUGGGGAGCCACCCUUGGAGAGCAAGGCAGAGUCUCCAUGCAUAUUCUGACCUGUAUCCAGGUCCAGUGCAGCAGUGGCCCCCACCCACCCUUGCUCCGUGGCACUCACAAUUCCUGGUAUGCUCUGGGCACUGGGCAUCAGGGACAGAUGUAUAGGACAGCAAGACACAAGGGCGAGAGAGAAAAGGGUAUGUACAGAGCCAGAUGGGUUGGAGCCGGACCCUGAAGGGCACAGAGCUAACUCUGCAACCUUAGACGAGGGUCCUAACUACUUAGAGACUUAGUUUUGCUUCCUGUAAAAUAGGCACUCUAUGUUUCAUAAGGUAGAAAUAAAAAAAUUUUGACACUUA